rnacentral:lncRNA from 1 species
GUCACUUCAAGUUCAAGUCAAGCAUCAGAGGAUGUACUCUUGCUGCUCUGCUGUGAGCACACCGCAGGGUGCUGCUUCAUCAAAUGACGGCAGAGCCCAGGAAGGAGGAGAACUCUGCACCCGUGUGAAGGUUAACUUGCUUGCUGCUUGGGCUGGAUAUGAGGUUUCCCUUCUGCUCAGGACACACAAAACCCUGUGGUGGCCAAAGGCCAGUGCUGUUGCCAUGAAAUGUGUGAUAUCCAGCUCUCUUUACCAGGUACCUGGACACCAGAAGAGAAGCAAAACCCCAGUCAUGCUCCUGAUUUCCAGCGGUGUGGCGGCUGCUGUUCCAGGUCCAGCAGCAGCAGAGGAGCAGCCCUCUGGUGGCUUCAGCAGCACCCUCGCUCACGGGGCUGCAGGUGGGACCAUGUCUGGCUGGAGAAAGCUGGGCACGAGGGUGGGGUGGUCCUGUGGGUGGGGGGUGACCCUGCACUGCUGCCCACCGACGUGCUCCUCUCACCUGGCAGGGUGUGCAGGGCAGGCAGGGCUGACCGCAUCGCCUUAUUUUCUCACCCUGAAAUGAAACAGGGUAAAAAGUAAAAAAUGGAGCAGGAAUUUCAGAGUGUACCCAUCUCUUUGCUGCUGAGUGAUGAUGUGUGCAUAUAUGUGUUUUGGUGUUGUUAUUGUUGUUUCUGAAGGAGAAUAAAGGAGAAUUUGGAAUCA